GAUUCAUGAGCACUACUUCCACUUCUCUCUCUAUAAAUUCCUCUCUCUCUCUUCUCCUUUUUUUUUUUCACCUGACACAAACACCACUUAUUCUUCUUCUUUCUCUUUUCCCACUUCCUCUUCUUCAUAUUACCCUCGUUUUGCUUCUGCCGGAUUCCCUCUCCUCCAAUCAUUUGGACCGAAACCCAUCACACCCAUUUGCAAAAGAUCAAAUCUUUGCACCUUCAAAGGCUCAAACACUCUGAGAAGAAGGAAAAGUUCGUACCUUGGAGCUACCAACAAAAAAAAAUGACCACAGCUGGGGAUAGUUUGCUUCAAGUUGUUGAGGAAGAAGAAGAUUCUCCUCCUGAGUCUGCUUUGCUUGAUCCUGAGAACAAUUCUACGUCAAGAAGAAUCGCACUUUUCGUUGGGCCUUCUCCAUUUGCCUACACUCAUAUGAAGAGGAAAUCAUCAAGAAUUGGAGAUCUGCUUUAAAGAAGGCAGCAAACUUUGGUGGAUUUCAUUAUACAUCCAAAUACCGAGAUGUUGGGACUUGGGACGACUUGAGGUCAAUGUCUUUCAGCUAACAAGUAAGGAGCAGUGGAGCACCACACAAUCUAAAAGGGAAUACAGUGAAUGAAGCUGAAUAAUGAUGCCAGUUUCGAAAAAAAAGAUCAAAAACUUGUUUUAAUUUAUUCUGAAUCAUCAACUAUUACUGUGUUGCAGAUCCAUAGUCGGAAGUCUUUCAUGCUGAGCACGCCAUAGGAAAAGGAGGACUUUUGUUGGAGCUUUAAUCUUCCAGGGAUUGAGCUUUAAGAGUUCCCUUGAGCAUUUUUGCUUAAAAGCCUUCCACAAAAGCUAUCCUGACAAGGGAUAUGAAAAGCUUCCCUUGCGCCAAAACUUCCCUCUGCGGUGCCCAUUUUACGAUUCUACCCUUCUCUCUUGCUGCACUUUCCACUUCUUCCAGAAUUGACUUGAUAGUUUCUGGUCUUAUCACCCAUAGAAACCUCUGUUCGUUGUUUGCUAAGCCGUAGGCCACUUCGAUUAGUUCCUUCUAUUCCCAGCUCGCUAUGCUUCCUAAACUGACGUACACAACUGAACGAACAAGAGCCGCUUUCAGUUCUGUACGCUAGUUUAGGAAGCAUAGCAAGUUGGGAAGAGAAGGAACUAAUCGAAGUAGCGUACGACUUAGCAAACAGCGAACAGAGGUUUCUAUGGGUGAUAAGACCAGAAAUGAUCAAGUCAAUUCCGGAAGAAGUGAAAAGUGCGGCGAGAGAGAAGGGUAGAAUAGUAAAAUGGGCACCGCAGAAUAAGAUAUUAUAAUUUGCUUUUACUUUGAGGGCUAUAUUGUCACAAUUCAUUGAGUAACAGAUGCAAGGAUAUGAAUAAUUCCACAGGGCUGGAUUUCAGAAAUCUAACAUGAAAAGAUUGCCUCACCAUUGGCACCAGAGAUGGAUUCAGAAUAUUUAAUACCAAUACAGGAAGGCUUUGUCACCAAACAUGUGUUGGAGGUUUUAUUAUUGUUGAGAUAUUGUUCAGCUCAAGUCUUCUUGCUAUUGUUGGUGUUGGUGAUAAGACUCGUUCUCAUUUUACAAGACAAGGCAUAUACAUAUAUGAAUUAAAUAGUCUCACAGUCUUGGAGACUAUUGACACACUGCCAAACAUUGAUGAGGCUGGAAUUAAUACUGAUGGGAUUCCGUUCAAUUAGUAGAGUUUGUGAUAAGCACUACUUUUGUAAUGGGUGCAUGUCUAAUUUUUAUAAAUUGUGUUCUUGCAUAUAUAGCAUUGACAGUACUAAAAAUAACAGUGUAGAACCUCUCAUUUUGAUAUCUUGUAUUAUCCAUA